UACGUAGGGUGCAAGCGUUAAUCGGAAUUACUGGGCGUAAAGCGUGCGCAGGCGGUUAUGUAAGACAGAUGUGAAAUCCCCGGGCUCAACCUGGGAACUGCAUUUGUGACUGUAGAGCUGGAGUGCGGCAGAGGGGGAUGGAAUUCCGCGUGUAGCAGUGAAAUGCGUAGAUAUGCGGAGGAACACCGAUGGCGAAGGCAAUCCCCUGGGCCUGCACUGACGCUUAUGCACGAAAGCGUGGGGAGCAAACAGG
rnacentral:rRNA from 1 species